rnacentral:rRNA from 1 species
UACGUAGGGUGCAAGCGUUAAUCGGAAUUACUGGGCGUAAAGCGCGCGUAGGCGGCUUUGUAAGUCGGUUGUGAAAUCCCCGGGCUUAACCUGGGAACUGCAUCCGAGACUGCAUGGCUAGAGUAUGGGAGAGGGAAGUGGAAUUUCAGGUGUAGCGGUGAAAUGUGUAGAUAUCUGAAGGAACAUCAGUGGCGAAAGCGACUUCCUGGACCAAUACUGACGCUCAUGUGCGAAAGCGUGGGGAGCAAACAGG